rnacentral:sRNA from 1 species
UUGCACUGUUGUUGGGGUCAGGGACAGUGAUUAAGAUAAAUUUCUAAUUGCAGUCUAUACGAGAUACUCCAGCCAAAAAUGCACAAAAGUCAAAUCAGAAUGGAAAAGACUCAAAACCAUCAUCAACACCAAGAUCAAAAGGACAAGAAUCCUUCAAAAAACAGGAAAAAACUCCUAAAACACCAAAAGGACCUAGUUCUGUAGAAGACAUUAAAGCAAAAAUGCAAGCAAGUAUAGAAAAAGUGAGUAAAGUUAUCUUAAAAAAACUUUGUCUCCCCCCUCAAAUUGCACGUGUCUGGUUUGCAUAGACUUGAAUGUUUCUUGUUUUUUUGUUUGUUUUGGUUUAAUAUACUUGCCCUGUUCAUGGUAUGAAUUUUUUCAAAAAUUUCUUAUAAAACAUUUAUAAUCGUGUCUGUGGUGAUUUUUGCAUAUGCAAAAUUAAAUAUGCCUUAUUUUCCAUUAUAAAAGGAACUUAGUGCACUGGUUGCAAGAUAACAUUCUGAUCUUCCAUGUUAAAAUAGAUCAGUGAAAACCCUUUGCCUAUUCUGGUUGUAAGAUAUGCUAGAGAACC